rnacentral:rRNA from 1 species
GACGAACCGUCCAAACGUUAUUCGGAAUCACUGGGCUUACAGAGUUCGUAGGCGGUCUGGAAAGUUGGGUGUGAAAUCCCUCGGCCUAACCGAGGAACUGCGCUUGAAACUACCAGACUCGAGGGAGAUAGAGGAAAGCGGAACUGAUGGUGGAGCGGUGAAAUGCGUUGAUAUCAGGAGGAACACCAAUAGCGAAGGCAGCUCGCUGGGACGGUACUGACGCUAAGGCGCGAAAGCGUGGGGAGCGAACAGG